rnacentral:antisense_RNA from 15 species
AAUAACCAAAAAUCACGCUUGGGCUAAGGGUCAAGUUGGUAAUUUUUNUUACAUCUCCCCCCCCCGGGGCCCAGGUAUCGUAUACGCCUCCAAAAUAAAGAGCCUUGAGUACUAGAAGAAAGGCACCUAUACCUAACAAAAUUAAGUGAAUACCUAAAAUUGUAGUCAUUUUAUUCCUAUCUUUCCA